AGAGGUUUUGAGUCCUGGCGUCAGGAUGAACGCUGGCGGCGUGCGUUAACACAUGCAAGUCGAACGAAGCACUGAAAGCAGAGUUACUUCGGUUUGUAAGCUUUCGUUGACGUAGUGGCGGACGGGUGAGUAACGCGUGGGUAACCUGCCUCAUACAGGGGAUAACAGUUAGAAAUGACUGCUAAUACCGCAUAAGCGCACGGGUUUCGCAUGGAACAGUGUGUAAAAACUCCGGUGGUAUGGGAUGGACUCGCGUCUGAUUAGCUGGUUGCGGGGUAACGGCCCACCAAGGCGACGAUCAGUAGCCGGCCUGAGAGGGUGAACGGCCACAUUGGGACUGAGACACGGCCCAAACUCCUACGGGAGGCAGCAGUGGGGAAUAUUGCACAAUGGGGGAAACCCUGAUGCAGCGACGCCGCGUGAAGGAAGAAGUAUUUCGGUAUGUAAACUUCUAUCAACAGGGAAGAAAAUGACGGUACCUGACUAAGAAGCCCCGGCUAACUACGUG
rnacentral:rRNA from 1 species